CAGCACCUCAAGUGGUCAGGAUGAAUAUUGGGCCUAAAGCAUCCGUAGCCGGCGCUGUAAGUUUUCGGUUAAAUCUGUACGCUCAACGUACAGGCUGCCGGGAAUACUGCAGCGCUAGGGAGUGGGAGAGGUAGACGGUACUCGGUAGGAAGGGGUAAAAUCCUUUGAUCUAUUGAUGACCACCUGUGGCGAAGGCGGUCUACCAGAACACGUCCGACGGUGAGGGAUGAAAGCUGGGGGAGCAAACCGGAUUAGAGACCCGAGUAGUCC
rnacentral:rRNA from 1 species